UUCAGUUUUUUUCUUUGUGGAAACGUAAACUAUGAUUUCGAGGCGCGAAGAAAGAGGGCAGCAGUGAGCACAACAACGCUGUAAGAAUAAAGGUCUGACUGGUGGAAGAAAUGUUCCUCAAAUAAAUAAACGUAAGCUUUACAGAGAUUUGCCGGAAGCGUUUGGUUAUUCAGAGGGGCGUUGUCCCACGCCUUCAAUCCCAGCACUCGGGAGGCAGGGACCGGCGAAUCCCUGAGAAGCCAGCUUGAUCUAUGUGUCCUGCAGGUCCAAAGCAGCAGAAUCUCCACGACACAGGCAACAACAGGAUAUCCAGGAGUCCCGGUGAGGAUCCGGUAUGAAAGAUUAGCAGAAGCCAGAGGCCUGGAAGCAGACCGAUGACUCACUGCAAUGAGCAUUUACAAGUAAACAAGUAUGGACAAAGGGUAUAUUGCGGGACACUGUCACACACUACAGCCUCCAGAAGAGGAGAAGAGAAGAAUUUCUGAAAGCUGUCCUCUGAUCUGCACAUGUGCAAGCCCAGCAAACACCUUAAUAAUUGUGCAGUAAAGGCGUUCACAUCGGGACCUGUAAACUGGCGAGGCGUUAGCACUCGCACCUUCACAGUGCUCCACGCGCCUCGCUGCUGCUGCUUUUGACUGACUCUGAGGAAUCACCAGGCUGGCCUGAACGUGCUGAAAUCCUUCUGCCUCUACCUCUAAAGGACUGGACUAUAGGGGUGUGCAACUCUGACUGCAACAUCCCUGUCUCUUAGAUAAGCUGACUGGAAUGAAGUAACUUCUCUAAAGGUGUCCUGCACACUAACCUCGUCAGUACUACACAGUGAAACCCAGCUUUAAAAAAGUUAAUUAACUCUAAGUCUUAUUUAUCUAACGUAUUUCUGAAAAGCAACUUGCAACCAGUCAUCUCAAAAUACAAAGUAAUCUCUUAAUUACUUUCCCUCUGGUGCAUUUAUUCCAAAUUUAAAACAAAACAAAGCAAAAUAAUGGGUCUGGUUUAUCCAUUUUGUAAAAUAUAACACAAUUCAGUCUUUUUGUUUACUGAGCAGGUAUAUACCUUUCUGAGAUUGUUUCCAAUUGUGUAGGUUAAAGUGAAAAAUGACAAAGCUUUAUCUAGCGGACUGAACAAUUAACUAAGUUUCUGUGUCUGUGAAAGAAUCAGGCCUGACCCCCAACUCCAAAAGCCACCAGUCCCAGGAACUAGGCCAUAGGUCACCAAUUCCAAGAAGAAGACAAUGGAGUCCCUUACCCAAGGAACAGCCUGGAGAAAACCCAGUAAUAUUUAACCAUCAUCUCUAGCAACGGCUAUCAGUGAAUACCUGGAAUUUGCCCAGGUGCUCUUUACAAUAGAAUGAGUAAAACAAUUAUGGUUUGGCUUUUCCCUCUGGGCAAACAGUUUCCUCCCGGAACCCAAUAUUUGCUAAAUACCAAUCAAUUCGACAACUGCCUAGCUGGAAUUUCCCAAACUUUGCUGUAACCCUAAAUAUAAUCCCCCUCCCCCUGAGCUCAGGCUCAACACUCAACCACUGUGUGGUGAGGGUGCAGACCCAAAUCCGAGCUUGUAAUAAAAAGACCCUAGUGCGUUUGCAUCAGAAUCAGCUCCUUGGUAGUCUUUGGGUUCCACAAGACUUGGGCAUUACAUUUGUACACACUUUGUAUGUGUACAUGUAUGUACUUGUACAUUGAAGACAGAGGCUGACACUGGGUGUAGCCUAAU